rnacentral:piRNA from 1 species
UGGUAGAACCUAGGUAGUAACUGAAC